rnacentral:rRNA from 1 species
AUUGAACGCUGGCGGCAUGCUUUACACAUGCAAGUCGAACGGCAGCACGGGCUUCGGCCUGGUGGCGAGUGGCGAACGGGUGAGUAAUAUAUCGGAACGUACCCAGAAGUGGGGGAUAACGUAGCGAAAGUUACGCUAAUACCGCAUACGAUCUAUGGAUGAAAGCAGGGGACCGCAAGGCCUUGUGCUCCUGGAGCGGCCGAUAUCUGAUUAGCUAGUUGGUGAGGUAAAGGCUCACCAAGGCGACGAUCAGUAGCUGGUCUGAGAGGACGACCAGCCACACUGGAACUGAGACAUGGUCCAGACUCCUACGGGAGGCAGCAGUGGGGAAUUUUGGACAAUGGGCGCAAGCCUGAUCCAGCAAUGCCGCGUGAGUGAAGAAGGCCUUCGGGUUGUAAAGCUCUUUUGUCAGGGAAGAAACGGUAGAGGCUAAUAUCCUUUGCUAAUGACGGUACCUGAAGAAUAAGCACCGGCUAACUACGUG